rnacentral:tRNA from 1 species
AAGAGUAAAGCUACCUAGCGCCCCGCUUACAAUGGGGAGUUUCUUUUAGAUGCUCUUU